AUGCUAUUCGGUAGCUGUGAUUCUAUUACACACAUCUCUGCAGGACUUCUUAUCUUGCAGUAAGAUUUGUCCUGCCUUUAUUUUAAAGUUGCCUUUCAUUGGUUCAAGUUGGAUGGCUGUUGAGAGCUCCCUCCGUCAUGGUCUGUCCUACUCAGACUGCAAGAUCAAAGUCCAAAUUUUUCUGCCUCUUUUGAGUUUUUCCCUCAAAAUCCUAAGCCCAGUGUCUCCCAGCCUCAUGAUCUUCCGUAGACCUUCACCCCAUGAAAGAGGUACAUGAACUGUCAAGGUUUGUUCCUUGAUGCCUGUCACAGGUCAUGUCCUCUUCUCCUUCCCUUCACCCCCUUCAUUAAUGCUGUGCCUCUCCACCAAUAAUUUGUCCAUUGGUGCUUGUGCCCUGAGGAACCUCAAAUGCCACCACCCAGCGGUGAAGUACCUGUGAGCAGCUGAUGGGUGCAUUGCCUCGGCAGUGCAAGGUUGAUAGCUGCAGUGCUGGAGCGUGAGCCUCCAGAUCUGCCUGCCUCUUCACUCGCUUCCAAACCUCACCACUGCGGUGAAGGGCUGGGGUGGGCGCUGGAAGCUGAGGAGCUGUUUAACAACAAAACUACCAGCCUUGUUCCUCCUGUUGCAGCCAGUACAAGUAACUGGUGUUUUUCCUGGCAAACUGCUUGGGUUUCUCAGGUAAAAUGGGGUCAGCAGCUGGAAAUGGCCAUGUACAUUGAGAGGAGGAAGUAGAGCCUCAGUUGCAGCCUACUUCCUGGGGACAGUUUGGAGCAUACUCUCUAGGCCAAGUGGCGAUUCCCUGCUGAACAGCUGGCUGUGAGCAUGGUUACAGGUGGCAGCUUUGUGGACUUUUUGGUCUUUCUGUCUGCGAUGGUGCUUGUUACUGUGCCUCGUUUGCUGUUUACAUUAAAUGCUACUGUAGUAACUUUCUUUCAUGCCAUCCCUGCACGAAGCAUGUGUAUACAGGAACAGACUGCCUGCUGUGGUGGGCCUGGGAGCUCCUGUCAGAGGAUAACAUAACCCUGUAGGCUAGGUCAGGGGAGAAGCUGGGAUGUGGAGGGACAAGUGAUGGCCUUUCCUUAGGAAGCAUCAGAGAGAAGAAAUGUGGGCAGGAGGGCUCACCCUGAAGCUGGAAAAAGCCUUUUCUGUGAUAAUACAGCACCAAGGAAGGGGAGGAAAGAGCUCUUUGUGUAAUUUAACCAUUCGUGGAUAACUUUGUUCUCUAGGUUAAUUGUCUUCCUGACAUCUGUGGGAUCUUUAGUCAGCAAUAUUUUUUGUGUAAAAGAAAGAAACUAGAGAACUGAUUUAAUAAAAGCAAAAUGACAUUUCACUUGAAAAAAUGAAUUGCCCCGGAAAGCUACUGAAGUAUGCUUAGAAAAAA
rnacentral:lncRNA from 1 species